rnacentral:rRNA from 1 species
GAACGAGAAAAGUCCGGUAGCAAUACUGGGGUGAGUAAAGUGGCGACCGGGUGAGUAACACGUGGACAACCUACCUUCGAGUGGGGAAUAACCCUGGGAAACCGGGGCUAAUACCGCAUAACAUCCCGUGACGAUGGUCGUGGGAUUGAAACCCGCAAGGGGCUCGUUGAGGGGUCCGCGGCUGAUUAGCUAGUUGGUGAGGUAACGGCCCACCAAGGCUUUGAUCGGUAGCCGGCCUGAGAGGGCGGACGGCCACACUGGAACUGAAACACGGUCCAGACUCCUACGGGAGGCAGCAGUGGGGAAUUUUGCGCAAUGGGGGAAACCCUGACGCAGCAACGCCGCGUGGAUGAUGAAGGCCCUUGGGUUGUAAAAUCCUUUCGGCAGGGACGAAAGCGAGCAAUCGUCUGACGGUACCUGAAGAAGAAGCCCCGGCUAACUCCGUGCCAGCAGCCGCGGUAAUACGGGGGGGGCGAGCGUUGUUCGGAAUUAUUGGGCGUAAAGGGAGCGUAGGCGGUGUGGUAAGUCCGAUGUGAAACCUCCAGGCUCAACUUGGAGCUGGCAUCGGAUACUGCCGUGCUAGAGUGCGGGAGAGGAGAGUAGAAUUCCCGGUGUAGCGGUGAAAUGCGUAGAUAUCGGGAGGAAUACCGGUGGCGAAGGCGGCUCUCUGGACCGCAACUGGCGCUGAGGCUCGAAAGCUAGGGGAGCAAACAGGAUUAGAUACCCUGGUAGUCCUA